UCUGGGUCAUUUAGAGGAAGUAAAAGUCGUAACAAGGUUUCCGUAGGUGAACCUGCGGAAGGAUCAUUACUGAUUUGUUUAAUUGCACCACAUGUGUUUUUUAUUGAACAAAUUUUUUUGGUGGCGGGAGCAAUCCUACCGCCAGAGGUUAUAACUAAACCAAACUUUUUAUUUACAGUCAAACUUGAUUUAUUAUUACAAUAGUCAAAACUUUCAACAACGGAUCUUUUGGUUCUCGCAUCGAUGAAGAACGCAGCGAAAUGCGAUACGUAAUAUGAAUUGCAGAUAUUCGUGAAUCAUCGAAUCUUUGAACGCACAUUGCCCCCUUGGGUAUUCCAAAGGGCAUGCCUGUUUGAGCGUCAUUUUUCCCUCAAACCCCCGGGUUGGGUGUUGAGCAAUACGCUAGGUUUGUUUGAAAGAAUUUACGUGGAAACUUAUUUUAAGCGACUUAGGUUUAUCCAAAACGCUUAUUUUGUAGNGGCCACCACAAUUUAUUUCAUAACUUGACCUCAAAUCAGGUAGGUCUGGGUCAUUUAGAGGAAGUAAAAGUCGUAACAAGGUUUCCGUAGGUGAACCUGCGGAAGGAUCAUUACUGAUUUGUUUAAUUGCACCACAUGUGUUUUUUAUUGAACAAAUUUUUUUGGUGGCGGGAGCAAUCCUACCGCCAGAGGUUAUAACUAAACCAAACUUUUUAUUUACAGUCAAACUUGAUUUAUUAUUACAAUAGUCAAAACUUUCAACAACGGAUCUUUUGGUUCUCGCAUCGAUGAAGAACGCAGCGAAAUGCGAUACGUAAUAUGAAUUGCAGAUAUUCGUGAAUCAUCGAAUCUUUGAACGCACAUUGCCCCCUUGGGUAUUCCAAAGGGCAUGCCUGUUUGAGCGUCAUUUUUCCCUCAAACCCCCGGGUUGGGUGUUGAGCAAUACGCUAGGUUUGUUUGAAAGAAUUUACGUGGAAACUUAUUUUAAGCGACUUAGGUUUAUCCAAAACGCUUAUUUUGUAGNGGCCACCACAAUUUAUUUCAUAACUUGACCUCAAAUCAGGUAGG
rnacentral:rRNA from 1 species